AUAUAUAUAUAUUGGUCUCCUUAAGUUGAGUCAGGCUGUCAUCCCUUUGCUCCUCCAGCUUAUUUGUAACGUUCUAUAGCACACAAACAAAAAGUUAGGUCUUCCAUUGAGGGUUGGCCUCUAACUGGAAUUGACCAACUACACUCUGGUAUAGGUCUUCAAGUCCAUAAACCCAAUUUACAAAACCCAAAUCAGUUUUAUUUGGCAUCACAACAACAGCAGCAACACCAACAUCAACAGCAACAGCAAGUAUUAGCACAUGCUCAGGCACAAGGAAAACUGGGUGCAUCACCAAAUUAUGGAUUUUCUAGAUUAUCAAGAGGCAAUAUAUUCAUGAAAGAUGGUCAACCGUUGAGAAACGAAGGAUCUAAUGGCAUCUUCAAGAAUGCUAAGAACAUUGAGCGCCUAAAGAAGUACUUUGAUAUAUGUGGUGGUCCAGCAACCUUUAUUCAGGUUUAAAAAAGAUUAAGAAAAGAGGAAAUCAUGGAUCCUAAAAAUGACCCACUCAGUAAAAACAAACCCACUCAGUAGGAAAAUGUCCCAGCUUUGGUGCCCCUCUUGAUCUUGUCUAUUUGUUCUAUCAAUCAAUCUCAGGCUAUCAAUCUUUUGGUUACUUCCCAGGAUUAAAUUGUCUUCAACGAGACUUUCCUUGUAACAGGAACACAACAACACCUUGCUCACACUAUGCUGGAAAUGAACUACACUGAUAAGCAACUGACAGCAGCUAUUGUGUCUAAAAGGUUAAGACCUGGUCUUGCAGGGACUGAAUCAGGUGCACCACCAAGAUUACUAUCUCUGGUACAAAGAUGUUGGGAUGCUGACAUGCACAAUAGGCCUUCAUUUGAUGAUAUCAUCUCCAAACUUCAUCUCAGCAUGGUUUUGCCCUGUUGCCUGUAACAAGCCUCUAAAAGACUCUCCUGUUCUUAUGUAUUUGCCUGGGUUGGAAGGAAUUAGAACUGACCUUGUUGUACAUGAGAAAGCUCUUGGAAAGUGAGUUGAAUUUGGCUAAGUCAUUAUUGAGUGAGAUGGACCAAUGUACAACUGCUUAUUCAUAUAAUCAGCUGUUUGGAGCAUUAGUCUUAAAAAAUUAUGAAAGGCAAGAUGCAACUUUACUUAGUUGGAAUUUGAUGUACAUAGUAGAUUAGAUGCAAAUUUAUAUAUUGUAAGAGAUAGAUUGUAUGACAUUAUAUUUAUGCAAUCGA